GACGAACGCUGGCGGCGUGCCUAACACAUGCAAGUCGAACGGAACUGUUUUGAAAGAUUUCUUCGGAAUGAAUUUGAUUUAGUUUAGUGGCGGACGGGUGAGUAACGCGUGAGUAACCUGCCUUCAAGGGGGGGAUAACAUUCUGAAAAGAAUGCUAAUACCGCAUGACAUAUCGGAAUCACAUGAUUUUGAUAUCAAAGAUUUUAUCGCUUGAAGAUGGACUCGCGUCCGAUUAGUUAGUUGGUGAGGUAACGGCUCACCAAGACCGCGAUCGGUAGCCGGACUGAGAGGUUGAACGGCCACAUUGGGACUGAGACACGGCCCAGACUCCUACGGGAGGCAGCAGUGGGGGAUAUUGCGCAAUGGGGGCAACCCUGACGCAGCAACGCCGCGUGAAGGAUGAAGGUUUUCGGAUUGUAAACUUCUUUUAUUAAGGACGAAAAAUGACGGUACUUAAUGAAUAAGCUCCGGCUAACUACGUGCCAGCAGCCGCGGUAAUACGUAGGGAGCAAGCGUUGUCCGGAUUUACUGGGUGUAAAGGGUGCGUAGGCGGCUUUGCAAGUCAGAUGUGAAAUCUAUGGGCUCAACCCAUAAACUGCAUUUGAAACUGUAGAGCUUGAGUGAAGUAGAGGCAGGCGGAAUUCCCCGUGUAGCGGUGAAAUGCGUAGAGAUGGGGAGGAACACCAGUGGCGAAGGCGGCCUGCUGGGCUUUAACUGACGCUGAGGCA
rnacentral:rRNA from 1 species